CCAAUAGCGUAUAUUAAAGUUGUUGCAGUUAAAAAGCUCGUAGUUGAAUUUCGGGACCAAUAUGUUGGUCGUGCCUAGGUACGUACUGUCAUGAUUGGUCUCUCCCUUCUGAAGAACCACGAUGCCAUUAAUUUGGUGUCGUGGGGAAUCAGGACUGUUACUUUGAAAAAAUUAGAGUGUUUAAAGCAGGCUCGCGCUUGAAUACAUUAGCAUGGAAUAAUGAAAUAGGACGUUUGAUUCUAUUUUGUUGGUUUCUAGGAUCGACGUAAUGAUUAAUAGUGAUAGUUGGGGGCAUUAGUAUUCAAUUGUCAGAGGUGAAAUUCUUGGAUUUAUUGAAGACUAACUACUGCGAAAGCAUUUGCCAAGGAUGUUUUCAUUAAUCAAGAACGAAAGUUAGGGGAUCGAAGACGAUCAGAUACCGUCGUAGUCUUAACCAUAAACUAUGCCGACUAGGGAUCGGAUGAUGUUAAUUUUUUAAUGACUCAUUCGGCGCCUUACG
rnacentral:rRNA from 1 species